GAUAAACGCUGGCGGCGCACAUAAGACAUGCAAGUCGAACGGACUUAACUCAUUCUUUUAGAUUGAGAGCGGUUAGUGGCGGACUGGUGAGUAACACGUAAGCAACCUGCCUAUUAGAGGGGGAUAACGGCUGGAAACGGUCGCUAAUACCGCAUGAAAUGUUCGGAUGGCAUCGUCUGAACAUCAAAGAUUUAUCGCUGAAAGAUGGGCUCGCGUCUGAUUAGAUAGUUGGUGAGGUAACGGCUCACCAAGUCGACGAUCAGUAGCCGGACUGAGAGGUUGAACGGCCACAUUGGGACUGAGAUACGGCCCAG
rnacentral:rRNA from 1 species